UACGGAGGAUGCAAGCGUUAUCCGGAAUGAUUGGGCGUAAAGCGUCCGCAGGUGGCUGUGUAAGUCUGCUGUUAAAGAGUCUAGCUCAACUAGAUAAGAGCAGUGGAAACUACACGGCUAGAGUACGUUCGGGGCAGAGGGAAUUCCUGGUGUAGCGGUGAAAUGCGUAGAUAUCCGGAGGAACACCGGUGGCGAAGGCGGCUUCCUGGACCGACACUGACGCUGAGGCGCGAAAGCUAGGGGAGCAAACAGG
rnacentral:rRNA from 1 species